rnacentral:rRNA from 1 species
UUUUUUGAACGCAAGUUUGCGCCCGAUGCCAUUAGGUUGAGGGCACGUCUGCCUGGGUGUCACAUAUCGAAGCCUCCUGCCAAUUUCCCUUUGAUUAUUGUGCAGGGUGGAUGUUGGCCUCCCGUGAGCUCUUUUGUCUCACGGUUGGUUGAAAAUUGAGACCUUGGUAGGGUGUGCCAUGAUAGAUGGUGGUUGUGUGAUCCACGAGACCAAUCAUGUGCUGCUCUAUUGAAUUUGGCCUCUUUUACCCAUAUGCGUUUCUAAACGCUCGUGAUGAGACCUCAGGUCAGGCGGGGCUACCCGCUGAAUUUAAGCAUAUCAAUAAGCGGAGGAAAAGAAACUAACAAGGAUUCCCUUAGUAACGGCGAGCGAACCGGGAUAAGCCCACCAUGAGAAUCGGUCGCCCUCGGCGUUCGAAUUGUAUCGGGAAAAAACCCUUAAAAACUUU